AUUGAACGCUGGCGGCAGGCCUAACACAUGCAAGUCGAGCGGAGCGGCGGACGGGUGAGUAAUGCCUAGGAAUCUGCCUGGUAGUGGGGGAUAACGCCCGGAAACGGGCGCUAAUACCGCAUACUAUCAGAUGAGACUAGGUCGGAUUAGCUAGUGGGGGGGGUAAAGGCUGACAAAGGCGACGAUCCGUAACUGGUCUGAGAGGAGGAUCAGUAACACGGGAACUGAGACACGGUCCAGACGCCUACGGGAGGAAGCAGUAGGGAAUAUUGGACAAUGGGCGAAAGCCGGAUCCAGCCAUGCCGCGAGUGUGAAGAAGUUCUUCGGAUUGUAAAGCACUGUAAGUUGGGAUGCGAUACCAACAGAAUAAGCACCGGCUAACUUCGUGCCAGCAGCCGCGGUAAUUC
rnacentral:rRNA from 1 species